CAUGCAGUCGAGCGAAGCACUUUGCUUAGAUUCUUCGGAUGAAGAGGAUUGUGACUGAGCGGCGGACGGGUGAGUAACGCGUGGGUAACCUGCCUCAUACAGGGGGAUAACAGUUAGAAAUGACUGCUAAUACCGCAUAAGACCACAGCACCGCAUGGUGCGGGGGUAAAAACUCCGGUGGUAUGAGAUGGACCCGCGUCUGAUUAGCUGGUUGGUAAGGUAACGGCUUACCAAGGCGACGAUCAGUAGCCGACCUGAGAGGGUGACCGGCCACAUUGGGACUGAGACACGGCCCAAACUCCUACGGGAGGCAGCAGUGGGGAAUAUUGCACAAUGGGGGAAACCCUGAUGCAGCGACGCCGCGUGAGCGAAGAAGUAUUUCGGUAUGUAAAGCUCUAUCAGCAGGGAAGAAAAUGACGGUACCUGACUAAGAAGCACCGGCUAAAUACGUGCCAGCAGCCGCGGUAAUACGUAUGGUGCAAGCGUUAUCCGGAUUUACUGGGUGUAAAGGGAGCGUAGACGGAUGGGCAAGUCUGAUGUGAAAACCCGGGGCUCAACCCCGGGACUGCAUUGGAAACUGUUCAUCUAGAGUGCUGGAGAGGUAAGUGGAAUUCCUAGUGUAGCGGUGAAAUGCGUAGAUAUUAGGAGGAACACCAGUGGCGAAGGCGGCUUACUGGACAGUAACUGACGUUGAGGCUCGAAAGCGUGGGGAGCAAACAGGAUUAGAUACCCUGGUAGUCCACGCCGUAAACGAUGACUACUAGGUGUCGGGUGGCAAAGCCAUUCGGUGCCGCAGCAAACGCAAUAAGUAGUCCACCUGGGGAGUACGUUCGCAAGAAUGAAACUCAAAGGAAUUGACGGGGACCCGCACAAGCGGUGGAGCAUGUGGGUUUAAUUCGAAGCAACGCGAAGAACCUUACCUGCUCUUGACAUCCCGCUGACCGGACGGUAAUGCGUCCUUCC
rnacentral:rRNA from 1 species